CAUAUUGGACAAUGGGGGGAACCCUGAUCCACCCAUGCCGCCUGUGUGAAGAAGGACUUUGGAAUGCAAUGCACUUUCAGUUGGGCGGGAGUGUUGUCGGCUAAUAACAUGAAAUUGUGACGCUACCAGCGCAAUAAGCACAGCCUAACUUCGUGCCAGCAGCCGCGGUAAUACGAAGGGUGCAAGGGUUAAACGGAAUUCCUGGGCGUAAAGCGCACGAAGGUGGUUCGUUAAGUUGGAAUUGAAAUCCCAGGGCUUAACCUGGGAACUGCUGUCAUAACUGCUGAGCUGGAGUACGGUAGAGGUUAGUUGAAUUUCCUGUGUAGCGGUGAAAUGCGUAGAUAUAGGAAGGAACACCAGUGGCGAAGGCGACCACCUGGGCUAAUACUGACACUGAGGUGCGAAAGCGUGGGGAGCAAACAGG
rnacentral:rRNA from 1 species